CAAAUGAAUUGACGGGGGCCCCGCACAAGCGGUGGAGCAUGUGGUUUAAUUCGAAGCAACGCGCAGAACCUUACCAGCCCUUGACAUCCCGGUCGCGGUUUCCAGAGAUGGAUUCCUUCAGUUCGGCUGGACCGGUGACAGGUGCUGCACGGCUGUCGUCAGCUCGUGUCGUGAGAUGUUGGGUUAAGUCCCGCAACGAGCGCAACCCUCGCCCUUAGUUGCCAUCAUUCAGUUGGGCACUCUAAGGGGACUGCCGGUGAUAAGCCGAGAGGAAGGUGGGGAUGACGUCAAGUCCUCAUGGCCCUUACGGGCUGGGCUACACACGUGCUACAAUGGUGGUGACAGUGGGCAGCGAGACCGCGAGGUCGAGCUAAUCUCCAAAAGCCAUCUCAGUUCGGAUUGCACUCUGCAACUCGAGUGCAUGAAGUUGGAAUCGCUAGUAAUCGUGGAUCAGCCAAGCCGCGGUGAAUACGUUCCCGGGCCUU
rnacentral:rRNA from 1 species